GCAUGGCUGCUGUGCGGGCGUGCGUGUUGCUCUUCUUCAUACUUUCCCAGGUGAAGCCAUGCCUCGCCAAGGAACUGAAGUGCUCCACCUUUUUGAGGGGAAGUACCACAGUGUACUUGAUCCAGAUAGGUGAUCAAGAUUUGCAGACUGAUGCUGACGACUGCGAGUUAUCCUGGCAUAACGCAAGCAAUAUCGUCAUCGCAAACCACCAAUCAAAGGGAGAGUCUGUGGUGAGCUGCAGUGUCAGAAAUCUCACUAUUCAGGGAUGCAUUUCCAUCAUCUCCUGGCAUCACAACUGCAUCUCUGAGGGAGUUGAUUUCACUGCAAACUGCAACGCCUCCUGUGAUCAGCCCUCUGACCUCCAAGCAGUCACGAAAAUUCCCGCCAAGACUACUCAGUCUGAAGAUGCAAACCACGCAAUCAUCCUCGGCACUGUCCUGCCCAUCAUCUUCUUCAUCCUCGCUGGGAUUUUAUACCGAUUCAGACAAAGCAUUUUCAGAAGAAGAUCCUGUGGCCAGAUUGGAUCGUUUUACUCUCCUCCUCCGGUCAACACCAACACAGACACGCUUGAGGUCUAAGGGUCUGCAGUGCUGGGGUCCGGGGGGCAAAUGGGUCUAUUGUCCCGGGUCCAGGGAAGUGACGGAGGGUGUGGAGACACAUCUAUGAUAUCUCAUCCUGGGCCCAAGAAAAACUGUCAGCUCCAUGGUUUCCUUGGCGCUUAUUUACUUGUAACAUGCUUUCAUUCAUGAAAUUAUGGCUGGGAUGUUUCUACUGCAAGGAAAACUGUGUUUGCUUUGGUUUUUUUUUUUUUCUCAAAUGUAUUCUGCACGAUGAAUUCAGCGGAAUUGUGUUCUAGAUAGUUUAUUAUCACCAAUGCCUGUGUGAAAGUAUUGUAUUACAGAAUAAAAUACAUGUAUUGAUACCUAUAUAAAAGUAUAUGCCAACAGGAGUACUUAAAGGACGUGUAGUAAUACUGCGAACCAACACACCGAAAGCGUGAACCAUAGCUGUGGAAGCUGUGAUUACAUAUGACCUAUAAGUGACCUGCUGUAUUACAGCCUAAUAUAAUAACAUAUAGAAUUAUAACUCUAUUAUAAAUAACUUGAUGUGAAAUCAUAUUUUUAAUUACCUUAAGUCAGUGUAUAUACGUAUAUCUAAAUACAUUUGUGUUUUUAUCUGUUCUUUUUGUUUAUCUUUUGGGUUGUGGGAUUUCAGUGGUCUGAUAUGAGUGUAUAUAUGGAUAAUAAUGAGAUUUAUUAACUGAUUGCCUGCCUUAUGAAAUUACAACUUUACAAUCAUGCAAAUCAUGUGUAUUUUUUAUCAGCUGCUUGUUUAAUCUCUGUAUUACUACUGUUCCUUUCUAAUCAGCAUUAAAAUGAUUGUA